AUUUGAUGGUGAGGGCAACUUGCACAAAGCUUUUUGAAUCUCUCCCAGUACUCACACAAACACUCCCCACCAAGCUGCCUAAUCCCGGAUAUGUCUUUUCUGAUU
rnacentral:snoRNA from 1 species